AUCUUCUUCAUUAGGCCGAAAUUUCAAGGGUUCUCCAUAGCUAGGGUUUGUUUCAAGCUUCCAAGCUCCAUAAUCAAGAAAGACGUGGAAUCGACCUCAAUCGAGGAAAAGAAAAGAUUGUGGACUAAAUUGCAAAAUCUUUGUAUUUUGGUACCAAGGUAAGUUCAUGUGUAAAUAAUGUAGCAUAAUUUUUAUUUUUAAGUUAUUGAUAUUAAUUAUGUGUUAUGCUGAAUUUCAUUAUGAAAUGUAUGCUUUGUGGUUAAUUUCAAAUAAUAUGUAAAUUAUGUGAACUACUUGUUAAAUAUAA